UGGGGAAUAUUGGACAAUGGGCGAAAGCCUGAUCCAGCGACGCCGCGUGGGUGAAGAAGGCCUGCGGGUUGUAAAGCCCUUUCGGUGGGGAAGAAAAGCCUCGUCUUAAUACGACGGGGUCUUGACGUAACCCAAGAAAGAAGCACCGGCUAACUACGUGCCAGCAGCCGCGGUAAUACGUAGGUGGCAAGCGUUUUCCGGAUUUAUUGGGUUUAAAGGGUGCGUAGGCGGUCUUUUAAGUCAGUGCUGAAAUACUCCAGCUUAACUGGAGGGGUGGCAUUGAUACUGGAAGACUUGAGUGUAGUCGAAGUAGGCGGAAUUGACGGUGUAGCGGUGAAAUGCUUAGAUAUCGUCAAGAACACCGAUAGUGAAGACAGCUUACUAGGCUACAACUGACGCUGAGGCACGAAAGUGUGGGGAUCAAA
rnacentral:rRNA from 1 species